UCAAAAACAUCACCUCUAGCAUCACCAGUAUUAGAGGCACCGCCUGCCCAGUGACACAUGUUUAACGGCCGCGGUACCCUAACCGUGCAAAGGUAGCAUAAUCCCUCGCCCUGUUUUAUAAAAACAUUGCUUAUAGAAUUAAUUAUAAGUAAAACCUGCUCAAUGAUAAUUUCAAUAGCCGCAAUUUCUGUGCUAAGGUAGCAUAAUCAUUUGUUUUUUAAUUCAAAACUAGAAUGAAAGGUUAAACAUUUAAAUUUCUAUAACUUUAAUUUUUCAUAAAAUUAUAUUAAAUAUAAAAAUAUAUUUAUAAAAAAAUUAGACGACAAGACCCUAUUGAACUUUACUUCUGUUAAGCUGGGGAAGCUUAUAAAUUAAAAUUUUCAUAAUCUUUCAAUAAAUUUCCCAAUCUAAUUGAUUUUUAAUCAAGUUACCAUAGGGAUAACAGCGUAAUUUUUAUUUAAAGUUCUUAUUAAAAUAAAAGUUUGCGACCUCGAUGUUGAAUUAUAUUUCCUUUAUUUCGCAACAGAAAUAUUAGUAGGUCUGUUCGACCUUUAAAAAUUUACAUGAUCUGAGCCAAACCGGGAGAGGUAGGGUUUACGACCUCGAUGUUGGAUCAGGACAUCCCGAUGGUGCAGCCGCUAUUAAAGGUUCGUUUGUUCAACGAUUAAAGUCCUACGUGAUCUGAGUUC
rnacentral:rRNA from 1 species